AUGCAAAAUAUGGAACCACCAAAGGAUGCUGGCGAGGGGGAAGAAAAAGGGAUUCCCUCACUUUUCCCAGCAAGUUCUUCGUUCCUUUCCACCAGGAGGAGGCGCGCAGCCCAAAUCCCCCUACUCUCUCUCCUUAAAUCUCCCUACCUAAGGCUGCCGAGGUCGGCAGAUUGGCCAAAAUCCUCCCGCAAGGCCAGUCCUCCCCGCCCCAGUUGGUUUUUCCCAGCUGUGGAGGUUGGGCGGGCCUCUGGGUCUCCAGGGGUGUCCGCGCCGGCUGAGCUGAGCAGGGCAGUCCCCGCGACUCCGGGGCGUUUGGAGUUGGCUUUGGGCGCGGAGGUGAGCGGCGGGGAGCAGCAGACCGGACGGAACCCGGAGGUGCGCGGAGGACUCUCCCCAUUCUCGGGCUGGCGAGCAGCUUCGGUCCCGACUGCCAUCCCGCCCAGGGUCCCAGCCGCUUUGUUCGCUGACUCCCUCUGCCCCUUUGGAGAUGACUUGAACCCUCUCUGGGAUCUGAGGGGCUGGCAGGGCUCAGGCUGGGGAACUACAGCUGUAUGGCCCUCCAUUUCCUACUCAUUCAAGAAGGUCGCGCGGCGGACCGAGAGACGCCAACGAAAGAGGCGAGGAGGUGCCACCCGGGGCGGCGACUGGAGAGCCGCGGGAGGAGGAGCGCGAAGACCGGCGACCGCCGUGCGUACUUUCCGGAGGGAAGGGCGGGGGAGUCAGCCGGGAGGGGGACGCCUGCCGUCUAGGAGCUCCGCUGAGUUCCGACCGCGGUGUCCCUGCUCCGCGCCCACCAGAGGAAAGUUUACUCCAGGAGCUUCCGGCUGGCCCGCGCCCUCCGGGUCCAGCCCCUGAGCCUUCGGAGCGGGCGCCGAGAGCCGCUAUGCCUGGGG
rnacentral:lncRNA from 1 species